GAUCUGUGCUGUGGGAAUAGGCGUUGUUCACGCAGUCAUAGUCGGAGUGGCUCUGUUUCUCAUUCCUCUGGGCAGUGUUCCGGCUUGUGCUGGUACCACUUAAAGUUUGCCAAGAAGGCAAACAAGUGUAUCCAGCUGUGCAAUUUCAAACCCUCGUUAAACUAAAUCUGGAGAAGUUGAGCACGGCACCUUCUUCCUUUUCUUUUCCUACAAAUCGUGCAUUCUUCGUCAAAGAUCUGGUGUCGAAGAAAUUCUUCAUGGUAGACACCGGUUCUUGUAGCAUUUGGCCCCUUCAUCUGACUGCAGACAAGCCCAAGCGUUCCUCAAUUGUUUUGCAUGUUCAAAGAGGGUGCUGAAAAAGAUCAAAGAGGGUGCCGAAAGAGAUUAAAAAGGGUACCGAAAGAGAUCAAAGAGGAGUGCCGACAAAGAUCAAAGAGGGUGCCGAAAAAGAUCAAAGAGGGUGCCGAAAGAGAUCAAAGAGGAUUGCCGACAAAGAUCAAAGAGGGUGCCAACAAAGAUCAAAGGGGUGCAAAAAAAGAUCAAAGAGGAGUGCAGACAAAGAUGAAAGGGUGUCGAAAGAGAUGAAAGAGUGUGCUGAAAGAGAUCAAAGAGGGUGUCGAAAAAGAUUAAAGAGGGUGCCGAAAGAGAUUAAAGAGGGUGCCGUAAGAGAUUAAAAAGGGUGCCGAAAGAGAUCAAAGAGGGUACCGAAAGAGAUCAAAGAGGAGUGUCGACAAAGAUCAAAGAGGAGUGCCGACAAAGAUCAAAGAGGGUGCUGAAAGAGUGUGCCGAAAGAGAUCAAAGAGGGUGCCGAAAGAGAUUAAAAAGGGUACCGAAAGAGAUCAAAGAGGAGUGCCGACAAAGAUCAAAGAUGGUGUCGAAAGAGAUCAAAGAGGGUGCCGAAAGAGAUCAAAGAGGAGUGCCGACAAAGAUGAAAGAGGAGUGUCGACAAAGAUCAAAGAGGGUGCCGAAAGAGGAGUGCCGACAAAGAUUAAAGAGGGUGCCAACAAAAAUCAAAGAGGGUGCCGAAAGAGAUCAAAGAGGAGUGUCGACAAAGAUCAAAGAGGAGUGCCGACAACGAUCAGAGAGGAGUGCCGAAAAAGAUUAAAGAGGGUGCCGAAAGAGAUCAAAGAGGAGUGCCGACAAAGAUCAAAGAAGGUGUCGAAAGAGAUCAAAGAGGACUGCCGACAAAGAUCAAAGAGGGUGCUGACAAAUAUUAAAAAGGGUACCGAAAAAGAUCAAAGAGGAGUGCCGAAAAAGAUCAAAGAGGUGUGCCGACAAAGAUCAAAGGGGGUGCCGAAAAGACAAAAGAUCAAAGAGGAGUGCCGACAAAGAUCAAAGAGGGUGCCGAAAAAGAUCAAAGAGGGUGCUGAAAGAGAUGAAAGAGGUUGCUGAAAGAGAUCAAAGAGGGUGCCGAAAGAGAUCAAAGAAGAGUGCCGAAAUAGAUCAAAGAGGGUGCCAAAAGAGAUCAAAGAGGGUCCUGACAGAGAUCAAAGAGGGUGCCGAAAGAGAUCAAAGAAGAGUCCCGAAAGAGAUCAAAGGAAUAGAAAGGUGGUAUCAAAAGUGAAAGUAGAGGAGACAGGUAAAGACAGGAGAGAGGGAGGGGAGAAGAGAGAGAAAGUGGACGAGGAAAAAGAAAAGAAAGUCAUCAAUGACCCAUGUAUUAUGUAUUUAAUUUGGGUUUUUAAUUAUUUACACGCUUAUUGCUACUUAUUACUGUCCUGGUCGUUUUGUCUUUUCAUAGCAUCACUCGC
rnacentral:lncRNA from 1 species